GGAGGAGUGGUCGAGUGGUUUAAGGCACCGGUCUUGAAAACCGGAGAAGGGAGACUUUCCGUGGGUUCGAAUCCUACCUCCUCCG
rfam:Baumannia cicadellinicola str. Hc (Homalodisca coagulata), complete genome.